GUGCUGUAUGAAAGGAGAGAAGGUUAGCACUCCCCUUGACAAGAAUGGAAUUGGCCCUUGUGGCCUGCAACGCGCAUACGGUUAAAGCAUUGACACCUACUUCGUAGCAUCUCUAAUCACGCUUUUCG
ensembl:snRNA U6atac minor spliceosomal RNA